rnacentral:rRNA from 1 species
UACGAAGGGUGCAAGCGUUACUCGGAAUUACUGGGCGUAAAGCGUGCGUAGGUGGUUUGUUAAGUCUGAUGUGAAAGCCCUGGGCUCAACCUGGGAAUUGCAUUGGAUACUGGCAGGCUAGAGUGCGGUAGAGGAUGGCGGAAUUCCCGGUGUAGCAGUGAAAUGCGUAGAGAUCGGGAGGAACAUCUGUGGCGAAGGCGGCCAUCUGGACCAGCACUGACACUGAGGCACGAAAGCAUGGGGAGCGAACAGG